AGAUAUUUGAAAGUCAUCUUGCUUCUAUGACAUUUCAGUUCUGAUAUGAUUUAUUGCUUUCACGAAUCUGACCUGAUUAAACAAUAAAGUACCUGAUUAAACAAUAAAGAAAGACGAAGUAAUAGAAAAUGUAUUAGAACGCUAAAACUCUUUUGUAGAAAAUCCAUAGCAUCGCAACGAAUAAAGAAUCUGAGCACAAGAAAAAUAAACAUGUACAAAGUUUUUGUUAUUCUGUUACUUUUUGCGUUUGUUGGAACUGCUUAUAUGCAAUGCACAACUGACUGCAGAGUUGCUAAAUGCAAACAAGUGAAAUGCAGAGUAACUGAGCGAGAUGUAAGAGGAAAAUGUGAUUGUUGUCCCGUAUGCACACCUUUCUAUGGACCAUGAUAAGAAACGUUAUGAAGGUAUUAGUUAUAAAGAGUGAAUUGUUAGCGAGAGAAGAAGUAUUAAAUAUAAUCUGAUGUAAAUUUCUUUUAAUGAAUUAAACGUUUUGAUUCGAGAAAAA